rfam:Cryptococcus bestiolae CBS 10118 unplaced genomic scaffold supercont1.3, whole genome shotgun sequence.
AUCUACGGCCAUAGAACCUGGAAAACGCUGCAUCCCGUUAGCUCUGCAAAGCUCAAGCCGAGUAUCGCUCGGUUAGUACCAACGUGGGGGACCAGUUGGGAGUCCCGAGUGCUGUAGUUU